UUGCAACGGAUAAUCCGUUGCAAAUUAAAAAUGAAAUUACAACGGAUUAUCCGUUGCAA
rnacentral:sRNA from 1 species